CUUCCCCCUUGCGCCUCCCUUUCCCCAGUCCCUCUCAUGCCCUUCGCCGUCCCACCACCACGCCGGGGAAGAUCGGCGCCUCGCCGUUCCGCCACCGUCCCAGUAGACCGCCCGAGUGAACGCAGGCGGCGGCGGGCGGCGGCGGCAGUAGGGCGGACGCCGUUCGGCAUAGCCGUAAACCCAAAGAAACUCCCCCAAGAAAGUCACGUGUGCCUAUUUUUUCUUCUGGGUGUGUUUAUGUGGGCUGACUUACUGCGCAACGGGUCUUUGAGAAGUGGUCGGAUAUCGGGACGAAUGCCCAGAAAUCUUUAGCGCGUAUUCUGAGUAGAAGUAUGUGUGGGUCGUCUAAGUUCUGGAGUUCUUGUGUCUGGAUUAGAUAAUGUCCGGUACACGCGUGCACGUGCUGGGUUCUUGUACUGGAUUGUGUAUUUGAAUCGGGCACUUGAGCUGCGACCAGUUGGGAGACCAAAUUCCAGAUUCAUUCCGAGGUGUCUUCUCUCUGCAAUACUUCUUUCUUGGUAACAACAACUUGGCCGGGAAGCUUCCUGCGAAUAUCGUCGGUUGAAGCCUCGAUGCCAUGUAUGCUUCUAUGUCAUGGCGAUUCGAACUUAUAGACGUGAGUCGUACAUGUAUGUUUCUGAGCUGCACUAUGCUCAAAUCUCUGUUUUCCCUUCUUAGUUGCGUUCUUUCGUUUUGGUUCUUCUUUGAUUUACGUUUCUUUCGGAGGUCGUGUUCCGUCCUUUUGUCUCCUGUAUACGGGUCUUUUUUUGCUGUGUCAGUGUAGGGCUCGAGCCUGUUAUCUAUCAUGGUGCUUUUGAUUUUUCAACUUGCUAGUUCUGGCAACAAUUGGUUUCGUCUUGCAUCCACCAUAUUUUUCCUUUUCUGUUUUCUAUUGCUAUGUGGACUUUGCUGCGUUCAUAAAUUUAUGGGCGAUUUUGUCUAUGGUGCAAAGAUCGGGCAUAUGAUGGUUUACACUUGAUCUCUGAACUUCAGGUAAGUUUGCAUGUUUGACAAGUUUACAUGCUGAUGCUUUGCGUCUUUGCACCUUCGGGAGGAGUUCACUUUGAAUCAUUUCGCUGCUUCUGUUUUGCUUGAAUUAGUAGCAAACAUAGGAAGAAAUAGAGAAAACAAGUCAAGGGUGGAAUAGAGAAGUUUUUACCUAUAAUUCUUGUCUAACCAAGAUCAUUUGAAUGCUCACAAGGUUAGUCGUGGAAUGACUAAAUGUUUUCUGGUCGGAUGUUUUGAACUUUUAGAGUAAUUGAUUAGACCAACUGUUGCUGAUUGUCUUGCAUCUACGAAUUUAAUGGGUGGCCAUUGAAAACUGUGAUUGCAACAAGAUUCAACUUCUUUAUGUAGUUGUAUGCUGACAUGGUUUUCACAAAUUCAUGUUGUUUUUAAAAGUGUAUUGGAACUCAAGAUACCAUGAAUUCGGUAACUCAAUUUCAUCUACGGUCAACCUGUAUUCUUAAGAUUCAUCAAAAUCUGCAACUUAUAGAUGGCUUGCUUGCUUUGGUUGCUAUUACUUUCUAAAUACUACGCUUGUCAUUGUGAAAUGUUAGUCCUUUAAUUUUGGAAAUUAACUUGUCAUUUUUGUGAAGUUGCUAUGGGCUUUGACAAAAGAAAAUUUCAAUAGGUUCGACAGAAAUAACUUAUGUCCCCCUUGGCAAAUGGUAGCAAAGCAGCAUGGGAUCAGAAUAUUCAGUAGAUGACCUUUCCACAACAGCAACAUGGAUCCAGGGAUGCACCAUAAGAUAAUCUUUAAUCAUAAGAAAGCAUUAUAGGGUACAGUGUAGCUUUGCAAGCUAAACGCUCUUCACAUGGCAUUUCAAUUUUGGUCCUACCAGCUUGCAGUGCUUCGGGUGCGUCACAAUGGAGGAAGACAUGUUCACAUGCCUCACCUGCUUUCCUCUAUGGCAUCAUUUUCUAGUAAAGCGCCUGGUGGUCCUUCAAAUCAUUACCAUAACGAUUUAUGUAAUAGUUAUAAAGAGAAGCAUUGCUGCCCUACUGAUGAGAAAAACAUUCUCAAUGAACUCUCUGAUUUGUUGCCAAUAAGUUGGCCUAAUGCUGUUUCCAAUGUGCGUAAUGAUGAUUAUUUAAAGAACGAGAUGGGAAGCAGAGAGCAUCAUGGCUUCUUAUCCCCUGAAGAGAAAUUCCGGGGGGUUUUUCUUCAAAAGCUGAGAAGCAAAACUGCUGUGGAACAUGCUUUGACAAAUGUUCCUGCUGUUUUGAACAUUGACAUUGUUGCUAGAGUUGUGAAUCGUGGGAACUUAGGAGGGAAAGCUAUGACAAUGUUCUUCAAUUGGGCGCUAAAACAGCCUACAGUUAGUGUGGACACUCAUAGCUAUAAUGUGAUUCUGAAAGCACUUGGAAGAAGGAAAUACUUUGGUUUUAUGGAGGAGAUGAUGCAUGAAAUGAAAUCAAAUGGUACAACUGCCACCUUAGAGACUCUUUCAAUUGUAAUGGACAGUUUUGUGCGUGCUCAUCGAGUGAACAAAGCAAUAGAACUUUUUGGCAAGCUGGAAGAGUUUGAAUUGGAACGUGAUACAGAGUCUUUAAAUGUGCUUUUGCAAACACUGUGCCAACGGUCCCAUGUGGGUGCUGCCAACUCACUUUUGAAUUCUGUGAAGGGGAAGGUACCGUUUGAUGUGACAACUUACAAUACUAUCAUAGGUGGGUGGUCAAGGAUGGGUAGAGUUGGUGACAUCGAAAAGAAUUUGGAGGCAAUGGCAGCAGAUGGAAUUGCUCCAAAUUGUUUGACUUUUGGACAUCUCAUUCAGGGUUUGGGGAGAGCUGGUCAGAUUGAUGAUGCUGUCCUUAUAUUUGAUGGAUUGAAGGAGAAAGGUUAUGAUCCUGAUGUGAGUGUCUACAGUGCCAUGAUUUAUAAUUUUGCAAUCAUUGGGGAUUUUGAUGCAUGCAUCCAGUAUUAUAGGAGGAUGUUGAGUGAAAGAUGCAAUCCUGAUUUGGAUACAUACAAAAGUAUGAUCAACUCCUUGCUUAAGUUUCGAAAAGUGGCUGAUGCUCUGGAAAUGUUUGAUGAGAUGUUGAGUAGAGGGCUUGUUCCCACAACUGGGAUGGUAACCUCAUUUAUUGAACCUCUGUGUGGUUAUGGUCCACCUCAUGCUGCACUGAUGAUCUAUAAGAAGGCAAGGAAAGCUGGAUGCCUCGUGUCUUUGAAAGCUUACAAGUUACUUCUCAUGCGGCUUUCUAGAUUUGGUAAAUGUGGAAUGCUGUUGACUGUAUGGGAUGAAAUGCAAGAGGCUGGUCAUUUAUUGGAUGCGGAAGUUUAUGAGUACAUUGUCAAUGGACUCUGCAACAUAGGACAGCUGGAAAAUGCAGUGCUUGUCAUGGAGGAGUGUCUGCGCAAGGGUUUUUGCCCUAGCAGGCUUAUUUAUAGCAAACUAAAUACCAAAUUAUUGGUUUCAAACAAUGUAGAGAAAGCUUACAAGCUGUUUCUGAAGAUUAAAGAGGCUCGCCUCCAUGAUAAUGCAAGAAGAUACUGGCGUUCUAAGGGAUGGCAUUUUUAAGUUUGCUUAGGGUUUAGGUGUGCCAGAACAUACUUCUUUUUGCUUCUCAGGCAGUCUUGUCAAUGGGAGGGAGAUAAUUGUUGAGGUAAUCAUCUCGUAAAUCUCUUCCUAAAGAACACGGCGAUCCACAACCCCUUUAACCUUCCUAUUGUUUAGGCUAGCACCUGUUUAACAGUAUACUUUCACAGAAUGCUUAAAUUUUCUGGCAUGGUCAGGGCACAUCUUCAGAGAUCAAACGAAGUACAUCAAUAUUGCAGCUUUUUUCUUCUUUAUAUUACCAUGUGAAUAUUCAUCUCUGUUUAUGACAUUGAUAGAAUACAUACCUCCAUUUAGUUAUUGUCAUCGCCUAUUUUUUGAGCAACUUCGGUUUGCUUGCAUUAUUCUAGACUCUUUUGGACAAGGAAAGGCAGAAAAGAAUGAGAAGAUGGUGAAGGACACUCAGCUAGCCUAAGUUCUGUUUUUUCCUUUGCUCACUGACAAGCAUGCGAAUGUUUGUCGUGGUUUUUAUAUCAGAGAGAAAUGCCCAGGGUGGUUUCUCCUUUCCUUUAUUUUGAGCUUAUACUCCACCUUUUAUUCUAGUCUAUGUAACAUGAUUUUUUAUUGGAGUUUGCUCUGGAGCAAGUAGAAUGCUGAGUGUAGAUUAAUUCUUCAUUCUUUUUUUGUUGGAUAUAAGUUGAUUAGCAAACAGUGUGCUUGAGGUGUUGACACUUGGAGUCAGAGGUGUUCAACAAAAUUUGCCUUUCUAAUUGUGGGUGCACCUCUUGAGUUCUUGUUUGCAAAUUUCCACUGGUUCCUCAGUCAGUCCCUGGAUUGUUGUCUCUGGAAAUGGAUCUUCUUCAGAUCCAAUUUUCGGAGGUGAUUUAGUUUCUGCAAAACCCUCUCCAUCUAAACAAGAAUCUUCUGCACUAACUAAUCCAGUUGUUGGUGCUCCUUUGUCCUCUGCUGUAACAUCAGUUUCUGGAAGCCAACCUUCUGUGAGGCCCAAUGCACUGAAUGUUUUGCGGAGAUCAUUCUCUAUGCUUUCUUGUGGCAGUCAGGUUCAGUGUCCCUAUAUGCCUUCAAACCCACGAGAGCAGGUUCCAUCUCUAGGUUCUUCGCCAUUCACAUUGCCUGGAAGUUCAGUUAGGAUAGCUAAUUCUUCUUCCAGUGAUAAAAUAACUUGCUUGGCCCAAGAUGAAGCCAUCUACAUGAAAGUGUUUAUGGAAGUAGACAUGGACAGAGAUGGGAAGAUCACUGGCUAGCAGGCUUGCAACUUAUUUUAAAGUUGGAGGCUACCAAGAGGUAUCUGAGGAUAGGUGUGAGGUAGUUUCUCCACUCAGUUGUACAUUACUUUCCUUUAUUACUGUUUCCUUUGAAUCGGUUUUAUAUGUUUAACAACAUCAUAGGCUGAGUUACUUGGCAAAGAGUAUGAAGAGAAGUACAAGCAAGUUGCAGAGAUAGAAUCUGAGUUAACAAUCGAGGAGGCAACCUUUUGAAGUUUACUUACUGAGACUUUUGGGCUACGGUGGUGGUUGUAUGUCUAUUUUGUGGAAUAACUGAAUCAAAUAUAUGAUGAUGCUGUUUUUGCCCUUGGAUAUUUUUUUACAAACGAAUGAGUUUUCAUGGUAGACAUAAAUGGUUGCUCCCUGAAUACUUUAUAUUUCAAGUUUGCUUCUAAAGUGCUCUAAUCCUAUUGCCCUUUCUGAAGGAAACGGGUUCAAAUUCGUUACAUAUUGUAUAAUGCUUGUAAAUAGAUGCUCUAAUAUUUACUUUAAUCUGCCCAUUUGCCCUUUGCCAUUCUGAUAAGAUUUCUCAUACGAUUUGUAUUUGUUUCGUAGGAUUUACUGUGAUCAAUUUACUUUACAUCAUGUCGUCACCACUGUUUUUUGCCCUUUUAUGGUAAUAUGGAUUCAUGAUUAAUUGUCCACAUCGUUUCCAGAUUAUUUCUGUUGGUUCGUAUUCCUGCUUUAACUAUUCCCUGGCAAAAGGCAUUAAUAUGCAAUUGUUCAUUGGACUUUAGUUCUUCUUCUUCUUCUUCUUCUUCUUUUCUCUUUUUUUUCUGUGCGUGAAUACUUUUCUUUCAAGAAAAUGUCCUGUUUCCUUUCUGAUUGUUGAAAAUAUUCUUUUGUGGUGUUUUGACUUUACAUAUGUUCUCUCUUUUUGUGUUCAAUAUAUUUUAUCAUGAAUGAGGUCCUUCAUAUUAAUUAGUAAGGUUUCCACUUGCUAGUAGCCAUGGUCCCAAGAAACUCCCCAAAAUUGUCAUCCUCUUUCUGCGAGUGCGUGUGUGUGCAGUCUGAAGUUCUCAUUCUCAAUGGUAAGCAGAUUUAUGAACAUGGUGAUUUAGACUUAUAGACAAUACCGGUGCACAUAUGUUUCUGAGCUGCAUUAUACGUGAACUUCCAUUUAGCUUGUUGUUUUCUUUAGUUUUGGUACGAACCGAUAGUUCUUGUUAAUCGGAGUUGAUCCAUUUCUUCUUUAUAUAUCUUUCUCAACUCUUUUUAGGUUUGGUUGUCUCACAUACAUGGAUUAAUGCUGUGACAGUAUUAGGCUCUAGCACGUAAUCUACUACAGCGCUUUUGAUUAUUCAACUUGUUAGUUCUUGUAACAAUCAGUAUCAUCUUGCAUCCAUCAUGUUUUUUAUUUGCUGUUUUCUAUUGCUAUGUGGACUUUUCCGCGUUCCUGAAUUUAUCGGGUGAUUUUUUUUUCCUAUGGUGCAAAGAUUGGGCAUAUGAUGGUUUACACUUGAUCUCUGAACUUCAGGUACCAUUGGGCGCUUAAACUAGUGGGGAAUCUUCAUGGGCAACCAGGGAUUCGAGCCAGCAGCGGAAGAUGUAGCCACAUUUCCAAAAGGCGGUCAGUGAUUGGUUCAGCUUCAGAUUGGUUAUCAAGUUUUCAUCCUCAACAAGCAGACUCGGAGCCGGGGAGUACAAGACCUGAGCAUGCAAAUGGCGACGUCUUUGCCGGUUCUCAAUGAUAGCUUUGUCCAGUUUGAAAUGAAAAGGCAGUUGUUUUCGCCAGCAGCUGAUGCUGAACCAGAUGAUCAGGCAGAAAGCUGAAAUCGAGUGCCCAGAAGAGAAAAACACAAAACGCAAACCUCUGUACGGCAAUAGAAGAUUGGAACUGUGUCAUGUUCAUAUUGAAAUCUGGGUCCACUUCUGCUACACGUGCAUAUAUUCAUUACUGGGAAUAAAACCCGUUUAUUUUAGGACACACUUGCACUGGCUGAACAUACAUGGUUUUCGGUUUUCGGUUUUGCUUCAGAGGUUUAGAGGGAGGAACUGAACACGAUAUGCCGUCGAAUCGAUGCUUCACUUAUUCAUCGGUUGAGGUUUGAACUGACUAA